rnacentral:rRNA from 1 species
UACGGGGGGGGCAAGCGUUGUUCGGAAUUACUGGGCGUAAAGCGCACGUAGGCGGCUUUGUAAGUCAGAGGUGAAAGCCCGGAGCUUAACUCCGGAAUUGCCUUUGAGACUGCAUCGCUUGAAUCCAGGAGAGGUGAGUGGAAUUCCGAGUGUAGAGGUGAAAUUCGUAGAUAUUCGGAAGAACACCAGUGGCGAAGGCGGCUCACUGGACUGGUAUUGACGCUGAGGUGCGAAAGCGUGGGGAGCAAACAGG